GGGGGUGAAUCAGAUUCGACGUGUAUGUGGAAUCCAUGGAAGCGUGCCGAGGCUCCGGACCUCGUUAAACCCCGGAAAACCUAGAAUUGCCAACGACAACUUGGCUUUGGCCGCGUAACUAACACGUGACCCGUCCGCCGUCUUGCCCGCCUGAGGCGAGGCGGUUGGGCGUCAAUAAUUCAGGCUGGUCCAACUCGGUUGUCAUCGCCGUGGAGGACGAGAUCGGGCGAGAGCCCCGAUGACUGGCUGGUCGCGGGCCGCCGAGGAGCCCAGCGUCCGGUGAGACCAAAUCCUCGAAUACGCACGUAGAAGCCAGGGAUGAAGUAUGCGCGGACCCGGGUGCGAUUCCCGGCACCUCCAUCA
rnacentral:tmRNA from 1 species